ACCCUCCUCUUUCACUUUUCUUUUUCCUCCCCCUCCGUUUCCGUUCCUCUUCCCCAUAGACCACUCAAAACAACCCACCCUAUCUCCUUUCUCUGUGCGCAACCUUCGAGCUUUGUCCUCGACCUUCCUCGUCAUCACGCAUGUACAGAGGGCCUUGGAGGUUGAGGUCGCAUGUGGAUCUAGGUGAUGGUGUUUGGAUCAUUUGGGUCGCAAUGGUGCUUGUGGAGGCAUGCCGGCAGCGGCGCUGCUUUAGACUCGACGACAAGGUGAGGCAAAGCAGUGAGACUUGGAUCUGGAUGGGGC
rnacentral:lncRNA from 1 species